ACUCCUACGGGAGGCAGCAGUAAGGAAUAUUGGUCAAUGGACGCAAGUCUGAACCAGCCAUGCCGCGUGAAGGAUGAAGGUCCUCUGGAUUGUAAACUUCUUUUAUAUGGGAAGAAAUUCUCGCAUUCUUGCGGGAUUGACGGUACCAUAGGAAUAAGCACCGGCUAACUCCGUGCCAGCAGCCGCGGUAAUACGGAGGGUGCAAGCGUUAUCCGGAUUCACUGGGUUUAAAGGGUGCGUAGGAGGGCAGGUAAGUCAGUGGUGAAAUCUCCAAGCUUAACUUGGAAACUGCCGUUGAUACUAUCUGUCUUGAAUACCGUGGAGGUGAGCGGAAUAUGUCAUGUAGCGGUGAAAUGCUUAGAUAUGACAUAGAACACCAAUUGCGAAGGCAGCUCGCUACACGAAUAUUGACUCUGAGGCACGAAAGCGUGGGGAUCAAACAGGAUUAGAUACCCUGGUAGUCCACGCCCUAAACGAUGGAUACUCGACAUACGCGAUACACAGUGUGUGUCUGAGCGAAAGCAUUAAGUAUCCCACCUGGGAAGUACGACCGCAAGGUUGAAACUCAAAGGAAUGACG
rnacentral:rRNA from 1 species